GCCUGGCUGGCUCAGUUGGUAGAGCACGUGACUCUUGAUCUCAGCAUGGUGAGUUCAAGCCUUAUGUUGGGUG
rnacentral:tRNA from 1 species